rnacentral:tRNA from 1 species
GGCUUCGUGGCGGAACGGUAGACGCUGAAGACUUAAAAUCUUUUCCUCGUUUGAGGGUGCGGGUUCGAGUCCCGCCGAAGCCACCA